GACGAACGCUGGCGGCGUGCCUAAUACAUGCAAGUUGAGCGAUGAAGAUUGGUGCUUGCACCAAUUUGAAGAGCAGCGAACGGGUGAGUAACGCGUGGGGAAUCUGCCUUUGAGCGGGGGACAACAUUUGGAAACGAAUGCUAAUACCGCAUAACAACUUUAAACAUAAGUUUUAAGUUUGAAAGAUGCAAUUGCAUCACUCAAAGAUGAUCCCGCGUUGUAUUAGCUAGUUGGUGAGGUAAAGGCUCACCAGGGCGAUGAUACAUAGCCGACCUGAGAGGGUGAUCGGCCACAGUGGGACUGAGACACGGCCCAAACUCCUACGGGAGGCAGCAGUAGGGAAUCUUCGGCAAUGGACGAAAGUCUGACCGAGCAACGCCGCGUGAGUGAAGAAGGGUUUCGGAUCGUAAAACUCUGUUGGUAGAGAAGAACGUUGGUGAGAGUGGAAAGCUCAUCAAGUGACGGUAACUACACAGAAAGGGACGGCUAACUACGUG
rnacentral:rRNA from 1 species